rnacentral:SRP_RNA from 1 species
GGGGAGGAAAGCAGCAGCAGCAGCGAGGCGGAAUCGGUGGCAU